GGAGACCCGACUGCCGCACGCCAGGACCUGCUGAGCUUCUGCCGCCGCUGAGUCCAUGAAUUUGCAUGUGCUACUUGGGGAACCCCCAGAACCCUACAUCUAAGCUUACAUUUACUUUGACAAAGGCAAAUUUGGAAGCAAUUACUUGA